GCUGGGUGUCCCCAGGGUGUGCGUGGCACGGACUGGCACCCUCACAGCCUCUUCCUUUGCUCACGUUUGGCAAGGGGCCUGACGCUCAUGACACGGGAGCCAUUCCAGAGCCUUGCAGGAAUGGAUUACAACCCUUGUGGGGCCUGGUGAGAGGGGAAGUGGGGCCCACGUGUGUCGCCUCACUCCACAGACUGAGUUUGUGGCUGGCCCUGGGCCCGCCUCAGUUUCAGAAGCGUGGUGGACCUUGCGGAGCCCAAGACCCAGACAGCCCGAUGUGAAGAGGGAAAGGAACACUGCCUCCCGGUUCCGUGGCGCCCGCCCCGUGGGGUCCCCUGAGGACACCCAGAUCCUGGCAGAGGUGGCCAAGGAGGAGCUGGGCGACCGAGGUCUCCUGGGGGGUCACAGCUCCCCACAGCUGGGCCAGAGACCUCUCCUCUCCCCACUGAGGCAUGUAUACCCUCCCUCCAGCUGGCCUCACUCAGCCACAGGGCCAGGAGCCCCACCGCAGCGGCACCCAGGCCCUGCUCAGGAGGUCGUUACCUGUGGGGCCCUCCAGGCAUCUCACGUGGUGUCCCUCCCUCAUGCGGCCCCUAUCCCGGGCACUGCCCUUGGCCCUGCUGCUGCCUUCUGAUUUGGUGGGGGGAGGCCCAGGACUCUGAGCACGCGGAUUGGCCAGUGGCAGGUGCCAUCAAGAGCUUUACCUGCAUCCCUUUGCUGAAUCCCAACAACCUCCUUGGGAGGUGACAGCGAUUGUGAUCUCCGUUGCCACAGGCGACAAGGUGGAGGCACUGAUGAAUAAAUGGCCUGAGGACACA